UGUUGUUAUAUUACUUUGUUACAUAUAUGUUUAUCUGUAAACGUGAUGUAAACAAUGCUACUUGUGCGUUCUGAGUUUAUUUACCAAAAUUUACAUUCCUGUCUCGACAUACUCAAGAUCUUGUAAUACAAAAUCACACUUGGAAGAACUUCUUUAUUCUCUGCUGUACAUUGGCACCUUUCCUGAAUGUGGUUUUUGUUGAUGCCUGAUUGUGAUUGUUUCAAGAUGAAAUCAGUCAACAACGACUAGUUACAUUUAAUGUUGAAGAAAUGUAACCAAGUUUACAUUGGAACCAUAAUAAAUGAAUUUAAAAAGU